UACGGGGGGGGCAAGCGUUGUUCGGAAUUACUGGGCGUAAAGGGUGCGUAGGCGGUUCGCUAAGUUGGAUGUGAAAACUAUGGGCUCAACCCAUAGCCUGCAUCCAAUACUGACGAACUAGAGUUCUGGAGGGGGUAGCGGAAUUCCUGGUGUAGCGGUGAAAUGCGUAGAUAUCAGGAGGAACACCAAUAGCGAAGGCAGCUCGCUGGGACGUUACUGACACUGAGGCGCGAAAGCGUGGGGAGCGAACAGG
rnacentral:rRNA from 1 species